UUUGGUUAAGUUAGAAAGGGCGCACGGUGGAUGCCUUGACACUAGGAGUCGAUGAAGGACGGGACUAACGCCGAUAUGCUUCGGGGAGCUGUAAGUAAGCUUUGAUCCGAAGAUUUCCGAAUGGGGAAACCCACCAUACGUAAUGGUAUGGUAUCCUUAUCUGAAUACAUAGGGUAAGGAAGACAGACCCAGGGAACUGAAACAUCUAAGUACCUGGAGGAAGAGAAAGCAAAUGCGAUUUCCUGAGUAGCGGCGAGCGAAACGGAACAUAGCCCAAACCAAGAGGCUUGCCUCUUGGGGUUGUAGGACAUUCUAUACGGAGUUACAAAGGAACGAGGUAGACGAAGCGACCUGGAAAGGUCCGUCGUAGAGGGUAACAACCCCGUAGUCGAAACUUCGUUCUCUCUUGAAUGUAUCCUGAGUACGGCGGAACACGUGAAAUUCCGUCGGAAUCUGGGAGGACCAUCUCCCAAGGCUAAAUACUCCCUAGUGAUCGAUAGUGAACCAGUACCGUGAGGGAAAGGUGAAAAGCACCCCGGAAGGGGAGUGAAAGAGAUCCUGAAACCGUGUGCCUACAAAUAGUCAGAGCCCGUUAACGGGUGAUGGCGUGCCUUUUGUAGAAUGAACCGGCGAGUUACGAUCCCGUGCGAGGUUAAGCUGAAGAGGCGGAGCCGCAGCGAAAGCGAGUCUGAAUAGGGCGUUUAGUACGUGGUCGUAGACCCGAAACCAGGUGAUCUACCCAUGUCCAGGGUGAAGUUCAGGUAACACUGAAUGGAGGCCCGAACCCACGCACGUUGAAAAGUGCGGGGAUGAGGUGUGGGUAGCGGAGAAAUUCCAAUCGAACCUGGAGAUAGCUGGUUCUCCCCGAAAUAGCUUUAGGGCUAGCCUUAAGUGUAAGAGUCUUGGAGGUAGAGCACUGAUUGGACUAGGGGUCCUCAUCGGAUUACCGAAUUCAGUCAAACUCCGAAUGCCAAUGACUUAUCCUUAGGAGUCAGACUGCGAGUGAUAAGAUCCGUAGUCAAAAGGGAAACAGCCCAGACCGCCAGCUAAGGUCCCAAAGUGUGUAUUAAGUGGAAAAGGAUGUGGAGUUGCUUAGACAACUAGGAUGUUGGCUUAGAAGCAGCCACCAUUUAAAGAGUGCGUAAUAGCUCACUAGUCGAGUGACUCUGCGCCGAAAAUGUACCGGGGCUAAAUACACCACCGAAGCUGCGGAUUGAUACCAAUGGUAUCAGUGGUAGGGGAGCGUUCUAAGGACAGUGAAGUCAGACCGUAAGGACUGGUGGAGUGCUUAGAAGUGAGAAUGCCGGUAUGAGUAGCGAAAGACGGGUGAGAAUCCCGUCCACCGAAUGCCUAAGGUUUCCUGAGGAAGGCUCGUCCGCUCAGGGUUAGUCAGGACCUAAGCCGAGGCCGACAGGCGUAGGCGAUGGACAACAGGUUGAUAUUCCUGUACCACCUCUUUAUCGUUUGAGCAAUGGAGGGACGCAGAAGGAUAGAAGAAGCGUGCGAUUGGUUGUGCACGUCCAAGCAGUUAGGCUGAUAAGUAGGUAAAUCCGCUUAUCAUAAAGGCUGAGCUGUGAUGGGGAAGCUCCUUAUGGAGCGAAGUCUUUGAUUCCCCGCUGCCAAGAAAAGCUUCUAGCGAGAUAAAAGGUGCCUGUACCGCAAACCGACACAGGUAGGCGAGGAGAGAAUCCUAAGGUGUGCGAGAGAACUCUGGUUAAGGAACUCGGCAAAAUGACCCCGUAACUUCGGGAGAAGGGGUGCUUUCUUAACGGAAAGCCGCAGUGAAUAGGCCCAAGCGACUGUUUAGCAAAAACACAGCUCUCUGCGAAGCCGUAAGGCGAAGUAUAGGGGGUGACACCUGCCCGGUGCUGGAAGGUUAAGGAGAGGGGUUAGCGUAAGCGAAGCUCUGAACUGAAGCCCCAGUAAACGGCGGCCGUAACUAUAACGGUCCUAAGGUAGCGAAAUUCCUUGUCGGGUAAGUUCCGACCCGCACGAAAGGUGUAACGAUUUGGGCACUGUCUCAACCAGAGACUCGGUGAAAUUAUAGUACCUGUGAAGAUGCAGGUUACCCGCGACAGGACGGAAAGACCCCGUGGAGCUUUACUGUAGCCUGAUAUUGAAUUUUGGUACAGUUUGUACAGGAUAGGCGGGAGCCAUUGAAACCGGAGCGCUAGCUUCGGUGGAGGCGCUGGUGGGAUACCGCCCUGACUGUAUUGAAAUUCUAACCUACGGGUCUUAUCGACCCGGGAGACAGUGUCAGGUGGGCAGUUUGACUGGGGCGGUCGCCUCCUAAAGUGUAACGGAGGCGCCCAAAGGUUCCCUCAGAAUGGUUGGAAAUCAUUCGUAGAGUGCAAAGGCAUAAGGGAGCUUGACUGCGAGACCUACAAGUCGAGCAGGGACGAAAGUCGGGCUUAGUGAUCCGGUGGUUCCGCAUGGAAGGGCCAUCGCUCAACGGAUAAAAGCUACCCCGGGGAUAACAGGCUUAUCUCCCCCAAGAGUCCACAUCGACGGGGAGGUUUGGCACCUCGAUGUCGGCUCAUCGCAUCCUGGGGCUGUAGUCGGUCCCAAGGGUUGGGCUGUUCGCCCAUUAAAGCGGUACGCGAGCUGGGUUCAGAACGUCGUGAGACAGUUCGGUCCCUAUCCGUCGUGGGCGUAGGAAAUUUGAGAGGAGCUGUCCUUAGUACGAGAGGACCGGGAUGGACGCACCGCUGGUGUACCAGUUGUUCUGCCAAGGGCAUAGCUGGGUAGCUAUGUGCGGAAGGGAUAAGUGCUGAAAGCAUCUAAGCAUGAAGCCCCCCUCAAGAUGAGAUUUCCCAUAGCGUAAGCUAGUAAGAUCCCUGAAAGAUGAUCAGGUUGAUAGGUUCGAGGUGGAAGCAUGGUGACAUGUGGAGCUGACGAAUACUAAUAGAUCGAGGACUUAACCAUAUAA
rnacentral:rRNA from 1 species